rnacentral:piRNA from 1 species
UGGAAAACCUAGCACAGUCUUGAAUGUACCC